GAUGAACGCUGGCGGCGUGCCUAAUACAUGCAAGUCGAGCGAACAGACGAGGAGCUUGCUCCUCUGACGUUAGCGGCGGACGGGUGAGUAACACGUGGAUAACCUACCUAUAAGACUGGGAUAACUUCGGGAAACCGGAGCUAAUACCGGAUAAUAUAUUGAACCGCAUGGUUCAAUAGUGAAAGACGGUUUUGCUGUCACUUAUAGAUGGAUCCGCGCCGCAUUAGCUAGUUGGUAAGGUAACGGCUUACCAAGGCAACGAUGCGUAGCCGACCUGAGAGGGUGAUCGGCCAAACUGGAACUGAGACACGGGCCAGACUCCUACGGGAGGCAGCAGUAGGGAAUCUUCCGCAAUGGGCGAAAGCCUGAAGGAGCAACGCCGCGUGAGUGAUGAAGGUAUUCGGAUCGUAAAACUCUGUUAUUAGGGAAGAACAAAUGUGUAAGUAACUAUGCACGUCUUGACGGUACCUAAUCAGAAAGCCACGGCUAACUACGUG
rnacentral:rRNA from 1 species